rnacentral:rRNA from 1 species
UACGUAGGGGGCAAGCGUUGUCCGGAAUUAUUGGGCGUAAAGCGCGCGCAGGCGGCCGUUUAAGUCCGGUGUUUAAUCCCGAAGCUCAACUUCGGGUCGCACUGGAAACUGGAGGGCUUGAGUGCAGAAGAGGAGAGUGGAAUUCCACGUGUAGCGGUGAAAUGCGUAGAGAUGUGGAGGAACACCAGUGGCGAAGGCGACUCUCUGGGCUGUAACUGACGCUGAGGCGCGAAAGCGUGGGGAGCAAACAGG